UUUUGUAUUCACUCUCUGGCUCCAUGGAUCUAGCGUUCCUUUCUGCACAGUAGCAUAUCUCCAACAGAAAGUCUAACUAGUGCCCCGAUCCCAGCCUAGUCUAUAGCCUAGUGCAGGGCUGUCCAGGUGGUGGCCCACAGGCCACACGCGGCCCCUAGUGGGUUAACCUGUGGUUCUUGGUCCAGGUGUUCUUCUCAUCACUGUCCUGCUGGUACUGCUGGGGUCUCUGAGCUCUUCCUUUAUCCUCCUGCUUUUCCUUCCCAUCCUGUCCAUGGGGCUAGGGCAGGGCAGGGCAGGGUAACCCAUGGGGCUGAGGGACCCUCCAACCAAGGGAGUUUGGUGGGAUCUGAGGGUGGGACACAUACCCUAACAGCCCAAUCUGGGCUAAUUGCCUAGUUGGCUACACCAGCCUAGGGUCUGACUAGCAGCCACCCCAGGUAAUGAUUCCAGCUGCCCACUCUUGGAGCCUCCUGCCUAGCUGCUGGUGAAAGAGCAGCUUCUCUAGUUAGUCCCUCCUGUGGCAAGAUGCUGUAGGUUAGGCUCUCUGAAGGUCUAUGCUGGUAUAAAAGAUGGCACAGAUACAAAACAAGACAUUUGAGUUAGAGCACCGCUGUUAUUAAUUUGUACCUUGAUUUUCUUCAAGUGCUCAGCACACUCCACCCACCUGAAGUCAAGGGAAGCUUUUGUACAGCAACUCUUAAGGAACUCUUAAGCUGGUAAAUAAGGGUAUGAAAUGAAAGUGAACAGCUCAACUUCAUAACAAGUUUUAAUGUCAUAUGGAUUUUUAAAGAGGAACAGUAGAUAUGAAAUGGUGAAAAGGGGGAGCAGCAGCAGAGCUCACUGCACACACAAACCAGAGGUGAAGUGGGGUGUGAUGGCACCACCACAGCACCUGCCCUGGAUAUGCCCCUGGUUCUCACUUAUUAACAACCUUGCUAAAGGCCCAUUGUUGCCACUUUUACUUAUGCUGGCAAGUUUACCUUCAAUUUUUAGCAGCCAUCAGUCUCAUUAAAAAGAAAAGAGUCUCAGUUGAUGCAUUGCUACUGCCUUGGUACUCAGACGUUCAGUCCUGCUACCACUGAAAUAAAUGAUAGAACUCUCAUUGAUUUCAGUACUGGAGGAUUAGUGCCAGGCAUUAAACAGAUAACCCAAAAGGAAACAGAAUGACUGCAUUCUUUUAUACUUUCUUGUCUAAGAAAUUGCAAAGCAAAAGCAAGUGUUUAUAAUGUCACUGCUGAAGCAACAUCAGAGAUAUUGUUUGAAUAUACUGGAGGAUAAAGUGGUAUUAAAGGCAUGAGGAUUCCUUUCACUCUUUGUGCAAUUCUGUGGCCGGCAGCAUCAUCUACCAUUUACUGCUUGGAAGAUUUUGGGGAC